AACCCCAACCUGGUGCACGCGCAGAGCAUCCUCGCCAUCUGGGCGGUGCAGGUGGUGCUCAUGGGCUUCAUCGAGGGCUACCGUGUUGGUGGCGGGCCCCUCGGCGAGGGCCUCGAUAUCAUCUACCCAGGCGGCGCCUUCGACCCACUUGGCCUCGCCGACGACCCUGACACCGCCGCCGAGCUCAAGGUGAAGGAGCUCAAGAACGGCCGCCUCGCCAUGUUCUCCAUGUUCGGCUUCUUCGUGCAGGCCAUCGUCACCGGGAAGGGGCCAGUUGAGAACCUCUUCGACCACGUCGCCGACCCGGUCAACAACAACGCCUGGGC
rnacentral:lncRNA from 1 species